rnacentral:rRNA from 1 species
GAUGAACGCUGGCGGCGUGCCUAAUACAUGCAAGUCGAGCGAACAGACGAGGAGCUUGCUCCUCUGACGUUAGCGGCGGACGGGUGAGUAACACGUGGAUAACCUACCUAUAAGACUGGGAUAACUUCGGGAAACCGGAGCUAAUACCGGAUAAUAUAUUGAACCGCAUGGUUCAAUAGUGAAAGACGGUUUUGCUGUCACUUAUAGAUGGAUCCGCGCCGCAUUAGCUAGUUGGUAAGGUAACGGCUUACCAAGGCAACGAUGCGUAGCCGACCUGAGAGGGUGAUCGGCCACACUGGAGCUGAGACACGGUCCAGACUCCUACGGGAGGCAGCAGUAGGGAAUCUUCCGCAGUGGGCGAAAGCCUGACGGAGCAACGCCGCGUGAGUGAUGAAGGUCUUCGGAUCGUAAAACUCUGUUAUUAGGGAAGAACAAAUGUGUAAGUAACUAUGCACGUCUUGACGGUACCUAAUCAGAAAGCCACGGCUAACUACGUG